rnacentral:rRNA from 1 species
CAGCAGCCGCGGGAAUACGGAGGGUGCGAGCGUUAAUCGGAUUUACUGGGCGUAAAGCGUGCGUAGGCGGCUUCUUAAGUCGGAUGUGAAAUCCCUGAGCUUAACUUAGGAAUUGCAUUCGAUACUGGGAAGCUAGAGUAUGGGAGAGGAUGGUAGAAUUCCAGGUGUAGCGGUGAAAUGCGUAGAGAUCUGGAGGAAUACCGAUGGCGAAGGCAGCCAUCUGGCCUAAUACUGACGCUGAGGUACGAAAGCAUGGGGAGCAAACAGGAUUAGAUACCCCUGUAGUCCCUGUCUCUUAUAC